rnacentral:rRNA from 1 species
UACGGAGGGGGCUAGCGUUAAUCGGAAUUACUGGGCGUAAAGCGCACGUAGGCGGCGCAGCAAGUCAGGGGUGAAAUCCCGGGGCUCAACCCCGGAACUGCCCUUGAAACUGCAGUGCUAGAAUCUUGGAGAGGCGAGUGGAAUUCCGAGUGUAGAGGUGAAAUUCGUAGAUAUUCGGAAGAACACCAGUGGCGAAGGCGACUCGCUGGACAAGUAUUGACACUGAGGUGCGACAGCGUGGGGAGCGAACAGG